GUGAUUUUGGCUUUAACUUGUGCUUCUUAAUAGGAAGUAUAGGAGCACAUUUAACGGCGAUUUGAUGAAAAUGUAAAGAGGGCAAUUUCAAAAAUAAGAUGUCACUUGAUGAACACGUGAUACAGACAAAUAAGAAAGUUGAAGUAAUGUUUUUUUGAGUAGAGAAAUGGUUAAUGUCAGAAAUGUCCAUUAAUAAUCAUGUGAAAUAUUUAACAGUGUAUGAACAGAGUUAAGUCAAAAUGCUCGUUAAUCAGCGGCAUCCAUCUUGGUUGUUUACAAAAGUCGCUUCCGGCCGCGUCACGGUAUAAACCCCGCCCAUUAUCAGACAAUCGGUUGUGAUUGGACAGGUAAGUUUUCUUGUUGGAGGGAAAUUACUUCCCAAUGGAGGUGGAUCCGGAUUCAAAUGAGCUGCCAGAGUUCGUCUGGGUCCCAGGGCUAAGAAUUGAAGAGGCCGGCGCUGGAACACGGAAACUGCACAGUGGAUAGCUGGCUCUCCCACUCCCUCCUCUCCACGUCAAACCUCUCCAGCAACUCGGCUUUCUCCCUCGACCAGUCCCUUUCGUUGUGCUCCAGCCGACAGCGCAGGUCCAUGGCCGUUGAGUGUGUGUCUGCCAGGAGCCUCCGCUGCUCUUCCCUGUCCCGGCGGAGAGUUGGGGACUCGCCGUGAUGUCCUUGAGCGCUCCGUGACUCCACAGGGCGAGGACCUACUGCUGACUGGACCCCUCCACUCACCGACCCGGUACCCUCUUUAACCUCCAACUGAAGACAGAGACAGACAAUGGUUCUUUGUCAACCACAGUGUGAGAAAGCAAAGAGCCAGCAGGACGAAGAGAAAGAGAAGAGCUGGACAGUAACAUCGUGCCAUCUACUCACACAGAGGGAGUGACAUGAUGGCAGUUAAACCAUCUGGCCCUAAUAUGUGACGUCAGACAUCCCACCGAUGGGAUGAGAAGAAGAAGUGGACCGGUUCCGCCUCCGUCCGGUUGGUCAGACAGUGGCUCCUCUGCCUGUUUAUCCUCCUGCCUGGGGACGUCCAGCCGAUCUAUGAAGCUCUGCAGCUCCUUCCUGAAGGCUUUCAACUGGGCGUUGAUACGAUACAGCAGCUCAUGCUCUCUGAUCCUGUAGAGCAAUCAUAAAGAAUGUUUCGACCGAAUUAAUGAUAAAAACAAGAUUUUCCAAUUUGACUGUAAUGUCAGUAACAGUCCAGGACACUUCAACUGAUCACAGUCUUCUUACCUGCCACCUUCUUCAUCCUCCUCCAGCCUGGCAAACAGUUCCCCGUUGGUGACGUACACUCGGGCCUCAGCGAUGAUAGUGCUGGUGUCAGCGAUGAGCCUAUCGAUGGUCCGACCCAGCCUCUCCGCCUCCAUGCAGAUGUCUAUCAUCUGCUGCCGGUCCUUCAGGCUUCUGGCUAAAAAACGACUGUCCACGGAACCAAACAGAAACCAGUCCUGGACAGAGAAACUAAAGCAGACUAUUCCUGUUGAGUUUCUCUGCAUUUUUUUGUAUCUGAAUCUUGUAAUAUCAAUGCAAAGGACCCAUUGAGGAAACUGCGUGUUUCUUGAAUGCAAUCUAAACUGUUUACCUUUUUGUUCUCUUCUUCCACAUCUGCUAAAUUCCUGCGAAGGAGUUCAGCCUCGUCCUCCACCAGCUGAAGCUGCUGCCUCAGCUCCGACAGGGCCUCGCCCUGCUCCCUGCAUUGUUGACCUCCGCUGCUAGAGCCGUCCAGGCCUGCCGCCGCAAGACUAGUACCUGUCCUCCCUCAUGUCGUCCAGCUCGGCCUUCAGCCCCCUGUUCUCCACCUCCAGCUCCACAAUCUUCCUCCCCAGGAUGUUCGCCUCCUCCUCCACCAGGCGCAAGCGGAGCUUCAGCUCUGAUUCGCGGGUGGUGGGAGGUCCUCCAGCUUCACCUUUGGGCAGAGGGCUGUCCACGUCCCCGUAGAAGGAACGGUACUUCUGCAGUUCCUGCUCCAGUCGGUCCUUUUCCUUGUCGAUCUUUGCCAUCUUUUUCCUCAUCAAGAUGGCUUCCUCCUUGAUGAAGGCAAGCUGACAUUUCAGAUCCUCAUUUUCUUCCUAUGGAAAAGGAAGACAGUUUGUUGAUAUGCAGAUUAGUUAUUACCUUAUGAGCUGUCUUUUUUUUUUUUCACAAACUCAAUAUGGAAGAAUACAUAAUACACCAAUAAUGUAGUUUCUCCCCUUAUUUGAAUUUCUUUGGUAGUGUUCCAGAACAUCUACCAGCCUUGGAAAUGUUUCAUUGCCUGUACAUAUUAUAACGGGGUGAUGGUCAUACUCUUUAAGCUCAAGGGCCUUUUCGCAGGUCCCUGCUCGAAAAUGAAAAGAGUAUAUCUCUGCAACUACAAGGUCUAUAUGAAUAAUCUUGGUUAGUAUAUAGAGGUAACACUUGUGAGAUUUCAGCAAUGCACAUGUUACUUGGUCAGAGGAAAUGAAAAUGGAACACAACAUAAAUGAAAGAUUUAAGAUUUCAUACUAAGCAUCUCUGCUGUUGCUCAUAGUAUCUGAUAUUGUAAAUGCUGACUUACCUCGAUUGGGGUCUGUGGAAUCCUCCUCUCAGCUCUCUGUCCAUCCUUACUUCCUUUUCUUUUCAGUGAGAGCUGCAGGGAAACAUCAGUUGUUACAUCAGCAGCAGCAGCAGCUCGCUCUUUUCUCACUGGGGCGACUGAUAACAUCCAGAUGUAUGGAACACUGAAGGCUCGGUAAUGGAAAAAAAUCGUCCCACUCUAACUCACUCUCCAGAACGUUGCUGGUCAAAUAUUCAAAUGCAACACGUGGUGAUCACGAGUGCCAGUGUGGAUUUUACAGCCUUCAAAUGGAAAACACCUGCAGCAACAUGCAUUUGUAAAAUUCUUUCUGUCUGAGAAUGAGUCAUCUAACACAUAUUAAAAAGAUAUCAGGGCAUAAAA